rnacentral:lncRNA from 1 species
GUUUUUUUUGUUUGUUUUUGUUUUAAUCUCAGACUGCUAUUCGUUAGUGGGUCGUGGAAGAAUUAAAUGGGCCGUGAUUAAAAUUAACAAAAGAGAACUGAUUUCCAUAGCUAGACAGAAUCUUAAGAUGUUGGAAUCAACAAGAUGGAUGAUUUUAUUUGCUUGUACAACCUAAAGCCCUUUGUUCUAGGCAACCAUAUGAACCUGCUACUUGUGAGGGCAUAUAAGUCAGUAGGUGGCAUACUUCACCAUCAGAAUAAUGUUCUUCAAACUAAAUUUUAAAUCUUGGAACUGCCUUGUGGAUGAACUGAGAUGCCGCCCUGGGUUUUAGGCUAGCUUUGUCUCAGGCUGCCGUCUGGAUUGAAUAAGGGCAUCUGCUUCCGCAGAUACUGGCCUAUUAGGGGAAGACAUUCUGGGGCACUAUGGAAGAAGACAAAACGAUUUUGAGUUUUAGCUCUUUUCAGACUAGUUAUGCACCAUUGGGGCAAGGUACAUAAUUUCACCAAGCCUUAGUUUUUCUGUAAAUUGGAGAUAACAGAAACAAGCUCAUGGUGUGGCUGCAAGGAUUACUAUAAAGUGCUCACCACAGUCCCCAUGGCAAAAUUGGCAUUCUAUAAAUAUACCUAAUAUUUUAUUAUUAAUUAUUCUUAUGAAUAAAAUUGAUGUGGAAGGCUGCAUGUUUAAACUAAUUUCAAGGGCAAUUCUAGGUUGGCUUCUCAGAUGAUCAGUUUCUUUUGGUACCUUUUAUAAGUUCAGCAAGUAAUGUCUGGCUUGUGCGAGGGGGGAUUGAAUACAAUAAAAUGGAACCUUAUUGAUGAGUUUGAAGGUAAAAUUCAAACUCAGGAGAGAAAUGGUGAAUCACUGAAUAUUACAUUUGUGAUAUUGGCUGUAACUAACUGAGUUAAGUUUAAGAGGGAUAAAUACAUGUAAAGUCCCAUACUGAGUUUCAGAAAAUCAGUUAUACAAGUGCAUGUUAUGGUGAGCUAUGACAUAGCUUCUGGUCAAGUGCAAAGGAACGAGGCGCUGUGACUAAAUGCUCAGUGUGGCUAGUGAUGCAGCUGUCAAGAAAGCAAGUAUAUUCUCACAUAGUAUUACAAGGAUUUGAGUGUCCAAGCAAAAGACAACAGCAGCUUCUCUGUCCUCUACACUGGUGUUUGCUCUGUUUUGAAUUAUAUCCUUUUAAAAGAGAGAAUGACAAAUGGGAGCAUGAACAGAGGAACAUGACCAGGAAAAUGUUAUAUAAGGACAGUGUUGCUGUUUAUCUUGGAGGUAUGAUCACUGUCUUCCAAUUUCAAGUGUUUGGAAGUCUAUCAUUUGGAAGCCAAUGCACUAUGUAGAAUGGGCACUCAGUAAAAAUGUAUUGAACCAAUGAGGGGAUAAGCUUAUGUAGGUUAGAUCUAAAAGACAGCUACUGUGCAGAUCUAAAGGAUCUAAUGAAUGAAAAUCAGUUGGUUGAAGUUAUAGAAAGGCAAAUUUUAGCUCCAUAUUGAGAGACUUAACUGCAAAAGUGUUACCAGCUUACUGGGAAGGCUGUGUGUCUAUAAACUAUAGUCCACAUCUGAGUGCCUUAGAUAAAGCAUUCUUAAAUUCAGGGAAGGGAGAGUAUGAUUCUCUCCAGGGAAUCAGAAAAGAUUGCAAGGAAGGAGGGAAAAUAUAAGUUAGGUUUUAAUCGCAGUUAAGACUUGGAUACCCUAAAAGUGUGGUUUUAGAAGAAAAUGAGAGGAAGUAGGGGACAUUUUAGGUCAGUGAACCACACAGGCAAGAGCACCAAAGCAAGGAGUGUCUUCAGCUUCUAUGUGAGGUGAUAGGGUGUAAUUCACUUUACUUGGAGAGUGGUGAUCCAAUGAUUCCCCUGCCAUUUGUUUUGUAAGUUAAUCAAAAUAGGAGCCGAAAAUUCAGUCAGCUCAGCGUGCAGGAUCAUUGCAUUAUGAAACUGAACGUAUUUUUGAGAACUGAACGUAUAUAUUUUGAGUCGUGUGUCGAUCAGGAUUUCAUAAAGAAAUUAUGAUGUGAUUCUUUCACAAAGGAUCUUGCCCUAUGUACCUUUAAUAGUGUCUUUCUGCAAACAUGUAUCUAAUAUAUAGGGAAAUACUUUUAUUUGGAAUCUCUGAAUCAAGAGGGUUGUUUCUUUGAAUGAUUUUGUUAAAAUGAUCAAAGAAUAUUUUUCUAGAUGCUCACAGGAGAGCCACAAUUACACCAUUAGAGAUAAAUUUAUUUGGUCUUGAGUGUCACUUUUCAGGAUGUUCCUCAUAAGUUGCAACUAUUCCUAUCAAGUAUUUAAUAUGAGCUUCAACUAAUAAGGAAACAUUAAUUAUUAGCCAAGUGGGAACAAAUUCCAGUAGGAUUAGAACAUAGGAUGGGAAGAGAUUUAGGGGCAGGGACAUGUGUGCAUAAGGAAGGUGAGAUUCUUAGGUGCCAAUGAUGAAAUUUGCUUACAUCAUAAUUACAUUAUUUUUAAAGGAAGUUUGGUGUAUUCCUUAACUUGGCUUUAACAUUUAGCAGGAGCCCCUUUCUAUUUCAGUUUCAUUUUCAGCAUAGUAGCCUUUCUAUACUUUUUCUAUAAGACUUGGGCAACUGAUCCAGGCUUCACUAAGGCUUCUGAAGAAGAAAAGAAAGUGAAUAUCAUCACCCUUGCAGAAACUGGCUCUCUGGACUUCAGAACAUUUUGUACAUCAUGUCUUAUAAGGAAGCCAUUAAGGUCACUCCACUGCCAUGUAUGCAACUGCUGUGUGGCUCGAUAUGAUCAACACUGCCUGUGGACUGGACGGUGCAUAGGUUUUGGCAACCAUCACUAUUACAUAUUCUUCUUGUUUUUCCUUUCCAUGAUUUGUCCAGUCAUUGUGCCACAACAUUCAAAGAAGAUGGAUUAUGGACUUACCUCAAUCAGAUUGUGGCCUGUUCCCCUUGGGUUUUAUAUAUCUUGAUGCUAGCAACUUUCCAUUUCUCAUGGUCAACAUUUUUAUUAUUAAAUCAACUCUUUCAGAUUGCCUUUCUGGGCCUGACCUCCCAUGAGAGAAUCAGCCUGCAGAAGCAGAGCAAGCAUAUGAAACAGACGUUGUCCCUCAGGAAGACACCAUACAAUCUUGGAUUCAUGCAGAACCUGGCAGAUUUCUUUCAGUGUGGCUGCUUUGGCUUGGUGAAGCCCUGUGUGGUAGAUUGGACAUCACAGUACACCAUGGUCUUUCACCCAGCCAGGGAGAAGGUUCUUCGCUCAGUAUGAAGAAAAGCAACCCAAAACUCUCAAUCUGAUUUGUUUUUGUUUAUGUCGAUGCCCUGUAGUUUGAAAGUGAAGUAAAGAUUUAGAAUUCACCUAAGUCCAAAGGAAAACACGUGGUUUUUAAAGCCAUUAGGUAAAAAAAGUUCUCAAUAAAGGCAUUACAAUUUUUUAGGUUUAGAAAGAUGGACUUUUCUGAUAAAUCUUGGCAGACAUCUAAAAAAAAAACCAUAUUUUUCACAAGAAAAUGCAAGUUACUUUUUUUGGAAAUAAUACUCACUGAUUAUGGAUAAAAUGGAAUAUUUUCAGAUACUAUAUUGGCUGUUUCAAAAUAGUACUAUUCUUUAAACUUGUAAUUUUUGCUAAGUUAUUUGUCUUUGUUGUAUCUAUAAAUAUGUAAAAAAUAUUUAAAUAGAUGUACCUGUUUUGCUUUCACACUUAAUAAAAAAUUUUUUUUUGUA